AUUCCAGCUCCAAUAGCGUAUAUUAAAGUUGUUGCAGUUAAAACGCUCGUAGUCGGAUUUCGGGGCGGGCCGACCGGUCUGCCGAUGGGUAUGCACUGGCCGGCGCGUCCUUCCACCCGGAGACCGCGCCUACUCUUAACUGAGCGGGCGCGGGAGACGGGUCUUUUACUUUGAAAAAAUCAGAGUGUUUCAAGCAGGCAGUCGCUCUUGCAUGGAUUAGCAUGGGAUAAUGAAAUAGGACUCUGGUGCUAUUUUGUUGGUUUCGAACACCGGAGUAAUGAUUAACAGGGACAGUCAGGGGCACUCGUAUUCCGCCGAGAGAGGUGAAAUUCUCGGAUUUGCAAAAGACUAACUUAUGCGAAAGCAUUUGCCAAGGAUGUUUUCAUUG
rnacentral:rRNA from 1 species